rnacentral:lncRNA from 1 species
CCGGCACGGAGUUUUCAUUAGUUUAAUUCAUAUUGCAGGAAGAGAGACAAAUCUGUCAACAUAUCUGGACAGACUUGUCACAAACUAUUAUCUGCCCUGUAGGCCAAACAGACUUUGUCUUAGGCCAUCGUAUGUUCUUUAAGUCCACUGAAUCCCCCUAAAAAUAACUCAUUAUCCCUCAAAUUGCCACAUUUCCUCCAUCUCCCCUUCCCCUAUGAAGAAGGAUAUAUAAACAUCUGUACCCUAUUGGGUUACUGAGUAGUCAUUAUGCCAUUCCCCUGUGAUAUACACAUUAAAAUAAUUGCAUGUUUUUUCUCCUAAUAAUCUGCCUUUUGUCAGUUGAUUUUUCAGUAAACCUUCAGAGGGUGAAGGUAAAGUUUUCCCUUGGCCCCUACAAUUGUAAUCACUUAUUUAAUGCCAGCCUUCCCUGCUAGACUAUAAAUUCUGAAAGCAAGGCUCAUGUGUCUCCUGUGCUACUGCAUUCCCACAGUUAACACAGUAAUAAUGGAAACAGCAACCAUUUAUUGAGCUUACUAAUGCACUGGGUGCUAUGCUAAGUAAGCCCUUUAUAGUCAGUAUUGUAUUUAAUCCCAACAACCCUACGCCACUGAUACUGUCCCCAUUUUAUAGAUAAGAAACCAUGGCUGCUUGGUUAGGAGUGGCAGAACCAUGAACCCAGCUCUCAUUCAAUAAAAAAUAGUAUCACAUCCACUUGAACCACCUAAUGUACCAUUUACCAUUCUUUUCAGGCACACAAUCCCACAAAUUUCUCAUGAACACUCAUUAACAUCUUAACCCUUCACUUGUUCUUCUCCCCCUAUCCUCUGCCAUUUGUCUAGAUCAAUGACUCUCAAAUUAGUUAUUUAAACAAAACCAAGAGUAUUCAUCUAUUAAAUAGAAUGAAAAUUUUCUGAAAAUGUAGUGAAAACUGACCCAGAAAGGUCAAUACCAAGACCUGUUAGAGUUAUUGGACUUGAUAAAGGAAUAAUUUGAGCAGCCAAGCAAAAAAUCAAAUCACUUAUGUAAGAAAAAUGUCACAUGACUUUAGGCUUCUCUAUAGCAAUACUUUAAUAUUCCAAAGAAAAAUAUGAACUGAGAAUUGUAUUAUCUAGCCAAAUUGUUUUUACUGUGUAAAGGCUACAGAUAAACAUAUUUGACAUGGCAAAAAUUUAGGGAAAUUGUUCCAUGAGUCUUUUUUAAGGAAACUAUUAAAUCAUUAAUUUCAGCUGACCAAGAGAUUAAUGGGAAUGUUUUGAGUUUCAAAUACAUUUAAACUGUGGAACUAAGAAAUGUGAGGAUGACAACAGAAUGUAAAUAUUAUAUGUCCUCACAAGGUAGGAAUGAUACAACAAAAAUUGAGAGAAAAGGAAAAGAAAGUGGAAGUUCACUGAUACAAUAAUAGUUGGGCACCAGAGUGUAUCAGCUAAAGCUAAGCUGACAAGUCAAAGAGAAGUAUAAUCACAUUUAACAUACAAAAGUAGGUCAGGUGUGGUGGAUUAUGCUUGUAAUCCCAGCACUUUGGGAGGCUGAGGCAGAUAGAUCUCUUGAAGCCAGGAGUUCAAGAUCAUCCAACAUGGUGAAACCUCGCCUUUACUAAAAACACAAAAAUUAGCCCGACAUGGUGGCGCAUGCCUGUAAUCCCAGCUACUCGGAAGGUUGAAGCAUCAGAAUCGCACGAAGCUAGGAGGUGGAGGGUGCCGUGAGCUCAGAUCACACCACUGUACUCCAGCCUCAGCAACAGAGCAAGACUCUGUCUCAAAAUAAACAAACAAACAAACAAACAAACAGUAUAAGAGUAAAAUCCAAUAAUAUAUCGACCAGAACUGGUUAGUAGAGGAGGAGGGAAGGAAGAAAUAUGCUAGGCUUAAAUAUUGCUCAAAAGGAAUUAUUGGUGACUGAAAAUAAAUAGAAGAGUGUUAUAAUUAUAUGGAUAAUCAGCUGGGCGUGGUGGCUCACGCCUGUAAUCCUAGCACUUUGGGAGGCCGAGGCAGGUGGAUAACCUGAGGUCAGGAAUUCAAGAUCAGCCUGGCCAACAUGGUGAAACCUCGUCUCUACUAAAUAUACAAAAAUUAGCCAGGCAUGUUGGUGCAUGCCUGUAAUCACAGCUACUCAGGAGGCUGAGGCAAGAGAAUCACUUGAACCUGGGGGAUGGAAGUUGCAGUGAGCCAAGAUCGUGCCACUGCACGCCAGCCAAGAUGACAGAGAAUAACUCCGUCUCAAAAAAAAAAAAAAAAAAUUUAUAUGGAUAAUCAAUAGAACAAAAAUUACCCACAAAAGGAAAAAAAAUAAAACAUACCAUAAAGUAAAAUAUUUUUAAAAUCGUUGAAACAGAAAGGAGAACAUGAUUAGAGAACAACAACAAAAAAGACAAUUUCCUGAAACUUGUUCUCAAAUUUGUUCCUCUACAGAAAGCUUUUCCUCAUGAAAUAAAUAAAAGACAUUUGACAUGGGUCACUUACUUUAAUAACAAUACAUAUACCAUGUUAACACCAUGGAAUGCAAAUUCAGAUUAGACAAGAGAAUUUCACAAGUG